rnacentral:miRNA from 1 species
UUCUGUGUUCCUCAGGCUGAGGUAGUAGGUUGUAUAGUUCAGAGUGACACCACAGGAGAUAACUGUACAGCCUCCUAGCUUUCCCUGAGGAAACACAA